CAGUCGCCGCGUGAAUACGAAGGGUGCAAGCGUUAAUCGGAAUUACUGGGCGUAAAGCGUGCGUAGGCGGUUUGUUAAGUCUGCUGUGAAAUCCCCGGGCUCAACCUGGGAAUGGCAGUGGAUACUGGCAAGCUAGAGUGUGUCAGAGGAUGGUGGAAUUCCCGGUGUAGCGGUGAAAUGCGUAGAGAUCGGGAGGAACAUCAGUGGCGAAGGCGGCCAUCUGGGACAACACUGACGCUGAGGCACGAAAGCGUGGGGAGCAAACAGGAUUAGAUACCCCCGUAGUCCCUGUCUCUUAUAC
rnacentral:rRNA from 1 species